rnacentral:rRNA from 1 species
GACGAACGCUGGCGGCGUGCUUAACACAUGCAAGUCGAACGGAAAGGCCCUGCUUUUGUGGGGUGCUCGAGUGGCGAACGGGUGAGUAACACGUGAGUAACCUGCCCUUGACUUUGGGAUAACUUCAGGAAACUGGGGCUAAUACCGGAUAGGAGCUCCUGCUGCAUGGUGGGGGUUGGAAAGUUUCGGCGGUUGGGGAUGGACUCGCGGCUUAUCAGCUUGUUGGUGGGGUAGUGGCUUACCAAGGCUUUGACGGGUAGCCGGCCUGAGAGGGUGACCGGCGACACUGGGACUGAGAGACGGCCCAGACUCCUACGGGAGGCAGCAGUGGGGAAUAUUGCGCAAUGGGCGGAAGCCUGAUGCAGCAACGCCGCGUGCGGGAGGACGGCCGUCGGGUGGUAAACCGCUUUCGCCUGUGACGAAGCGUGAGUGACGGUAAUGGGUGAAGAAGCACAGGCUAACUACGUG